ACAGACACAGUCUAUUAUUAUUCAGUUAUCAAGUAGAGCAGUCGUCUCGCAAUACAAAAUGAAACGCAUAAUAAUAUUAUCGGCCUGGGCAGUAUUGUUAUACAUUUUAUUCAUCAAUAUGGUGAACGGGCAGGAUUUAAUGUCAUCAAAAAGGAUGAUGAAACUUUAUCACUUAAACCGUACCCGGAUUAAUACUUAUUAGAGCACGGAGUCACAAGCGAUUCAUACUUUCAUCAUCAUCAUAUCAGUUUAUCACAUUAAUUAUUUUUCACGUCAGCACGGCAUUCAAACUUGGCUGCAAAACAGCACUUUUCGAACGUCAGAAAUUUACAAAAGACAACUCCCAAAACGCCCACCCUUCACCACUUCCUAUGUGUUUUUGCUGGGAAGAAGAAGUAGCGCAACAAACUCCUCUUUUGUAGUGAUCGAUAUUAUUAGUCUUUAUCUUUAUAUUAGCUUUCGCCCGCAUGGUGUGUUGACCGGGAUAAAAAGCCUGUAUGUUAAACCAUGGAAUCACCUACCUAUAUAUAAAAUUUCAACUAAUUAGGUCCAGCCGUUUUUGCGUGAAAGAAUAAUAAAAAUACAUCCAUACAUUAUCAAAAACUCACAUUCGAUAAGUUUAUAACGAUAUAUUUUCAUAUCUUAAAAUAAAACAAGAUAGAAA